rnacentral:rRNA from 1 species
AAUAGAUACCCGGGUAGUCCACGCCGUAAACGAUGAGUGCUGAGUGUUAGAGGGUUUCCGCCCUUUAGUGCUGAAGUUAACGCAUUAAGCACUCCGCCUGGGGAGUACGGCCGCAAGGCUGAAACUCAAAGGAAUUGACGGGGGCCCGCACAAGCGGUGGAGCAUGUGGUUUAAUUCGAAGCAACGCGAAGAACCUUACCAGGUCUUGACAUCCUCUGACAACCCUAGAGAUAGGGCUUCUCCUUCGGGAGCAGAGUGACAGGUGGUGCAUGGUUGUCGUCAGCUCGUGUCGUGAGAUGUUGGGUUAAGUCCCGCAACGAGCGCAACCCUUGAUCUUAGUUGCCAUCAUUCAGUUGGGCACUCUAAGGUGACUGCCGGUGACAAACCGGAGGAAGGUGGGGAUGACGUCAAAUCAUCAUGCCCCUUAUGACCUGGGCUACACACGUGCUACAAUGGACGGUACAAAGAGCUGCAAGACCGCGAGGUGGAGCUAAUCUCAUAAAACCGUUCUCAGUUCGGA